AUACUGGGCCAAGGCCAUUUAGGGCUUUAAAAGUCAGCACCAACACUGAAUUGUGCUCGGAAACGUACAGGGAGCCAGUGUAGGUUUUGUUUAAUUUUGAAUUUCAGAUCAGCAGCCCAUUCUGAAAUAUGUUUAUUCAUGGACUAAGGGCUCAUCUACACUUUGAUUGCCCUGCGCCCAGACAGCCUAGGGCAGAGUGGUUUUGCCUUGCCAAAUUCCUUGGGAAAAUCCGCUCUUUAGUGCUGAAUCAGAGGAAACGGCAACCCAAGGAAAACCCGAUUGAUGUUUGCUCUGAUUCAGCGGUAAAAAUUGAGUUUUCCAGGGGGAUAGCAGCUGAAGAAGCAGAAGUCUGGAUAAGUCCUAAGUCCUGCUGCGUUCAGUGGGCUCACCUUUUGCUAAGCAAGUACAGUAGAAUCAGUGACAGUCUUUGGGCUCUCAAAUUUCAGUGGCACUUUGUGCAAUGCUAAAAUGAGGUGCCCCCCGCCUCUCGUGCUCCAUUCUACAGGAGUGUUUGGGUGCCCCCUACAGGGCAGUGCCUAGCACAACUGGAGCAGUCACGCUACCCUAAAACCGCCUCUGCCGCAGUGUGGGUUACGUUCUCAGCAGGGACAAGUCUUUUUACAUUGCAGUUCAGAUUUACUACAUUGUAGCAAAUGUACCCCAAAUGGCUCUAUUUGUAAUGCCUAGAGCAGGGGUGGGGAACUGAUGGUCUUCCAUAUUACAACACCCAUAAUCUCUGACCAUUCACCAUAUUGUCUGUGAGCUGACAAUUAACAACACCUGGAGGGAAUGCUUUUUUUAAAAGAAACCUUGUUUAGCCCCUUAAUCCUAUGAUGAUGAUGAUGAUGAUCAACAACAACAAUACUUAAUUCUAUGAGUUCAGUCCUCCUUUCACAACACUUUUUACUGUUUAUCUGCCUGUCCUCCUAACAUUGUUAGAAUUUGCAUCAUGCGCCUCAAUCAAACUACCAUGCUGGUGUUUAUAGAAAGAUGUAUAAGAAAAGAAAACAUGCAAUAAAACCUAUAAAAACAGCAGUUCUAUAAAGCAGCAUAAAAACACAUGACAUGAGCUAAAGGUAAAGGGACCCCUGACCAUUAGGUCCAGUCGCGGACGACUCUGGGGUUGCAGCACUCAUCUUGCUUUAUUGGCCGAGGGAGCCGGCGUACAGCUUCCGGGUCAUGUGACCAGCAUGACUAAGCCGUUUCUGGCGAACCAGAGCAGCACACGAAAAUGCCAUUUACCUUCCCGCCAGAGCGGUACCUAUUUAUCUACUUGCACUUUGUGCUUUUGAACUGCUAGGUUGGCAGGACCAGGGACCAAACAAUGAGAUCUCACCCCGUCGCGGGGAUUUGAACCGCCGACCUUCUGAUUGGCAAGCCCUAGGCUCUGUGGUUUAACCCACAGUGCCACCCGCGUCCCUUAUGACAUGAGCUAGAGUGAAAUAAAUCCAUAGAAGCUAAAAGCUUUGGGGGUUGCUCACAUGGCACAAGGAGGACAUUUCGCUCCAGGCGAGCCUCUUCCAAAGACAGGGUGUCACCACCGAAAAGGCUCUUUGCCCAGUAGUCGCCUGCCAUGGGACAUCUGGAGAAGAUUCUCGUGAUAACUUUUGUAUAUGGGUAGGCACUGGUGGAGACAAAGUAUGGGAAGGCCCAAAGCACAGCAUUGUCCUUGCAUGCAGAACAUCUUGGGUGCAACCCCUGAUGUCCCCCAAUAGGGCUGGGAAGAGUUUCUGCCAGAAACCCUAGAGAUCUUCUGCCACUCAGAGUAGAAAAUACUGACCUAGAUUGUCAGGAGUGCGUGCAGGAGCCAGGCCCUGUGACCAGUAGGACUUUGCAGGACUGGGGCCUUCCUAAGUUUGUUCUGAAGAGGCAAGGCGCGGCUGCACAGGUUAGGCCAAUUGGUAACUCACAGCACCUGGUGGCAAGAGCUGGGAAGGGAUAUAAGUUCAGCAUUUCCCUUCAGCUCUUUGCCACAGCAACAUGUUCCCUGCCUUGCUGUGUUUGGCUCCUUGACUCCUUGCUUCUUGAUCCUCAGACCCUUGACUUCGUGACAUCUUGCUUCUUGAUCUUCGGACUCUUGGCUUCUGGAUUCCCGUUCCUGCUCCCACCCUGCCAUCUUGCCCCCGGUCCCGAUGUCCCCAGCCGGGACUUCGAUCGCCCGUGAACUGGACUGUGACAUAGAUGGACCUAUGGUCUAUCUUGGUAUAAGUCAGAUUCCUAUGUUCCUCCGUAUCCUGCUCCUAAACUUCGCAAAGGACAACCUCAAGAAGGAACAACCACUGGAGGUGGGAUAAGGUACUGAAAGAGUCAAAGCCUGAUAGUGCUCAUCGUAUUGAAGUGCAGUCUUGUGAAGAAUGCUGAACCUACUAUGAUAAGGCCUAGGUAUGUUGAUAUACUGUAAAUACAUAGUGCGAAAUAUUUCUCCUUUCUUCUGGAACGAGCAGGUUCUUCCAGGUUAAGCAGGUGGCAUGUUCAGUGGCAGCAUGGUAGAAUUUGGAAUGGUAGGCACAAUCACCCCCUAAAGUCUCAAACUGCACUAAAUUUGUAAGUCAUUGACCUGAUUGCGAAUGAUGCAGCCAACAUUAAGGGCAUUUAAGUAAACCAAUUUCAUUGGAAGAGAUAAGCAUGUGCUUGGCUCUCGGGUUUGGUUUUAUCACAGCAACUUUCCCUGCUCCUCCUUUCGAUGAAAUAUGAAGACCAAUUUGUACCUGAAGUGUGCAUGCACACGAAAGCUUAUACUAAGAGCAAACUUAGUUGGUCUCUAAGGUGCUACUGGACAUUUUAUUUAUUUUUUAUAUAUAUGAAGACCAAACAUCACCUUUUUUUUCUGGCAUGGGAAGGAAUAUUCUGCAGGUAUUUUGAAAACCAUACUCUACUUUCCUCUGAAGUGCAAUGAAAUGUAAUGUUUUAUGACAGCCGGCUGUAAAUGCAACUGCUUUUUGAGCAUAAACAAAUUAUGCUUUCCCAGCAAAAUUAUAUAUAUAUCUCUGGAAAGGAAAUGUGGAGUUUUCAGGUGCAGCUUCAGCUGAGCUGGACAAAUACUGUGAUAUCAGAGUUCAGAGAUUUGUAUUUGAAUGUUAAGUGGCUCUUUGCUGUGCUUUCAUCCAUUCUGCUUUAUGCUUGCUAACUUCACAUGAAGGGGCAACUGCUCAUGAGAGGAAAGAAGAAAAUGGGCUCUUAAGUCACCUGAAAAUAGACAGUCAUGCGCGAAAGGCUUCCCAGAGCGAAUGGUGGUAGGGAGUUGAUUAUACUCAAAUUGCUCAGAGCCCCAUCCACAUAUGUUGCCUCUGAUGUGGAAGAUGAUGAGAUGCUAGGUCUAAAUGGACUGUUGCCCGAGAGCAUCACGGAAAUUCUUGACUGUGUUUAUUUAUUGUGAUAGGUAAUGAAGAAGGGGCUGCUGUGACCAGGGUUUGUCUCAGAAUCCAUGCAGAGAGGGGAAAUGUGUAUUUGAGUCAAACUUUGCUUUCCCUUUAUUUUAAUUUAUUUAUUUAUUAUUGCAAAGAACUUUAGCGGUUCUUACUGCCAAAGAGAAAAGCCACUUUAAAAAAAUAGUGUGCCGCAGCUUGCCUCUUCAGGAGUGCGAAGGGCUCUGGUCGUCUCUACUCUGCUGUCUGAGGCUAUAUGUACACACCAUAACUUUAACACACAUUCGGAGCGCAUUCUUUCCAUCAAAGAAUCAACUGUACAGUGGUACCUCGGGUUACAGAUGCUUCAGGUUACAGACUCCGCUAACCCAGGGUUAAGAACUUUGCUUCAGGAUGAGAACAGAAAUCACGCGGCAGCAGCGGGAGGCCCCAUUAGCUAAAGUGGUGCUUCAGGUUAAGAACAGUUUCAGGUUAAGAACGGACCUCCAGAAUGAAUUAAGUUCUUAACCCAAGGUAGCACUGUACUUUGUUGUUGUUGUUGUUGUUGUUGCUGCUGCUGCUGCUGCUGUUAUUAUUAUUAUUAUUAUUAAGUCAAUUUAUAAACCACCCUUUAUCAGAAGAGCUCAGUGUGGUGCACAACAUUAAAAACACAUUACAGAUCAAUGAUAAAAACAUAAUAAAAAACAUAACGACAGGCAGCGUAAUAGUAAAAUAAUCAUCAUAAUAAAAGUCCACUUUCCCACACUUUCACAGGCCAUAGAUUAUUUAUAGGCCUGGGUUGCUUGGAACUGCAAAUUUGUGUGGGGUAAAUUACGGUGCCCAAAAUUAUUUGAGGGAUAGAAUGUGCUUCAAAUGUGCUUUGAAGUUAUAGUGUGUCCACAGCUUAGACUUUGUGUGGGCCACACUAGAUAGGAGAAUAAACAUGUCAUUUUUCCUUGUAGCUGUUUGGUUGUGGGCAAUCAGCCCUGCUCCCUAGCUGGCCAGGUGGGGCUCACUAGCUCUGGGAGGAGGGGUGUGGUUCCUCAGCUGGAGUAGGCUCAGGACAGGUGAGGGUCACCUGCCUCCUCAAGCCCAGAUGCUGCAGUCAGCAUGCAAAGUAUAAAAGGGAAGCAGAGCUGAAGGGCUGUGUCUACUUAACUGCCCAUGUUGGUGGGCCUCAGCUUGGAUGCAUGAGGGUCUCUGCAGGACUUUGGACACUGGACACAGAUUGACCCUGCACUGGGAACUUGACAUAUUGACUUGCUGCCAGGUAGGCCAGGGGUUCAGGACACUCAACCGCACAUGAAUAUUAAAUAAAUGCAUGGAUGUUUUACAUGAGGCCUAGAUGCUUGGUUGACUGUCACUGCUUUACCUUGCAUUUCAACAUGGUAGACCUUGGAGAGGAUGCUAAACCAAUGGCAGGAAAUAUGGGCAGUUCUCGGCACACCUUCAUUUAAAAGUCUCUCAGAGAUUUAUUUGAAAAUCGGAAUCAAGUAAUGAGUGAAAAAGGAAGGUGGCUGAGUAAGGGGGGGGGAGGGAAGGAUAUCCUGUUGCUAGUGAAAUGGGGACUGGAAAAAUUCCCUGCCCCAGCCCCUAAAUGAAAUCAUUGAAGAAAAAGGCGGCAGCUCUAUAAUGAGGCAUACAUGCUAUACAAAAUAAUGUCUUUGUAAAUAAUACUUUAAUGAAUGCUGCUGGUUGAGGGGGUUGGGAACAUAAUGACACAGCUGCAGAAAAGUAACCUAGUUAGAGGGAGCCUUCUAAAUAGACUCUCUUCAGCAAUGCAGUCGUCCGGCAAUUUUGAUGCCUUCCCUCAGCUAAUCUCCCAUCACCAACAUCAAGUCUGUCAUAUUGAUUUCUUGCAGGGAGGUGGUGGUGGGGAGAGAGCAGAGGUUGGGGAAAAUGGUAAGGUGCCCUGCCUUUGUCAAUCCAGGCCGCGGUUGCCAGGCAACGUGAUGAGCUGACUCACUGGAGAUCGUUUUAGUGGCCUGAUUCAAUGCCCCAAUAGUCACCUGAGGAUUUUUUUUAUUUUUUAAAAAAAGAAAAGCAUGGGCAACGUUGAAUUAUUAAUGCAAUAAAACCAAGUGUUAUGCUUCUUGUUUGUUACUGACAAAAGGACAGUGUCAGAAUGAAUUGAUGGUUUAAUGUAAAAAGGCGAGGCGGACAACUCUGUGCCAAUUAAAAAUAACACAGUGAUCCAGAUGAUGGACAGACAGGACUCUCUUCCUUAAUGAAAUCUGUGGAAAUGUAUGUAGCAUCCAGUCAGUGAAGCUGGCUGCUGCUGGCAGUUAAAUGCAUUCUACUGCGGUGUGCAGUGACCUCUCAGACCCACCGUCCUAGUGAAGCAGAAGGUUAGGCUAACUCAAUGUCACUUCUGAGGGAUUUUAACAGGCUGUACCCCAGUCCUCUCUCUGUGUGUUGAUCUGUCUAUCUAUCUAUCUAGCUAUCACUUGUAUGUAAAAUGUAGAGACUCGCUGGUGUAUCCUCAGAACUGUACUGAUUGCUGAUUUUCUAAUCAUUUCUUGCAAAACCAGCAGUCUGCCAAGUGUGUGUAGACGAAAGAGGGAAACAAUAUUGUUCUCCUAUGGAGGGCUUAUCUUAUUCAAUUAUAGAAGAAGAGGGAAAUAAACUGUGAAAGUCCUAACAUGACAUUUGCUGGCAGUGUCAGGCAUAUGAUAAACGCAGGGCAGUUUCAUAAAUAAUUAGAAGUUCACUUAAAGACCGUCUUUCCAAUCUGGCAAGUUUGAUGUGUGUUUAUAAGUAGCUCUUCCAGUGCUUUUUUGCUGGGGGUAGUCAAGGGCAUGCAGUACCAGAAUCGACCCCCCUCCCCCAAUGUUAAAAGUGUGGCACUUACUGUAACAACUUCAUGGUGAGUACCGACCCCCCCCUUUUAAAGGACUGAGCCAUUUUGUAUACUGCUAAGAUAUCUCCAGUGUUAAACUCAUCCAAGCACUAUUGGCUCGGUUGGAUGGGCCUGUGGAUGUGAGUGGGGCUGUAUCUGGAGAUACCAUAUAGUCACAUAGCAUAGAUACAGCAGAGAUAUGGGGACCACACUGGGAUUUGUAGUGGCUUGAAAGCAAGGCAAUCCAUCUGCAUCUUUCUGCAAGAAAAUAAAUAAGCUCUA